AAAUUACCUUUUCCUCUGUUUUCUGCAUUCUUUUAAGGCAAAAAGCACAUUGGACCAGAUCCUGCAGGAGAAGGUUCUAGAAAUCUUCAGAAGGAUUUCUAGUGGCCACGUGUGUGUGCUAGUAUAUGACUGAAGUAGGAAAUUAUCUCUUAAUGUGUGUUAGAAAGUUAUGGACUUUUUUGCAAUGUACUACUUACACCCCAAUAAUUGUUUGCACCCAUAUUUUCAUUCCAGAGUAAAUGAAAGUAAUAUAACAUGUGCUUAAAGUGACAGUUUCCAAUCAAAUCAUGCCUUGCAGAUUCAUAACCUGCCUUUUUCUCACAAUGAGAGAAUGAGCCAUGUAACCCAUCCUAAGUUUUGUAACAGUAUUUCUCAACCUACCAUGUUACUCAAAUUAGUAAUAAAAUAGACAACAAAAAAAUAUUAUCAUAGGAUUUGAGUAGAGUAACUGUUGUGCAAGAGAUGACUUUAAGUGGAUUUUUUUACAGCUAAUAUAGAUUUUUCACUGUAGUCCCUAUACAAAUAGCAUUUCCAAAAAUGAUUUCUUAAGAUAUAAUUGCAGGUAUUCUCAUGAUAUCUGAUGUUUUCCUAUGUAAACAGAGUGAAAAUAUUCAAAAUGGAAAUUGUGCUUCUGCUCAUACUUUGGUUGCUUUUGAGUAAUUACAGUUGGAAACAAUACUAUGCAAAUAGAAGCACUCCUUUAAUGAUAGGAAGUUUUACGUAUAUUUUCAGGUAACUUGUGUAAGUAUAGAACACAAAGAUAAGUGAAAUCAGAUGAGGAAGCAAAUUGUGUAGGAUCUGGCACAAAAAGACUUGAAAGAGAUGAGGUCCUGGGGUUAAAUCUCUUUCGUAACUCUCACAUGCAUAUAAACUAUUAUGCUGUUAAAUCAUGUUGUUUGUUUGGAAUUUUUAAUCUCUAAUGAGUUAUGCACAUGAGGACACAUUAUUCCCGGAGAAGCUUGAAUGGGUUUAUAACAAUCUGACUAUGCAAAUACUUAUAAGUUAGAGGCAGAAAAUAUAACUUCAAAAUGAAAAUCCUAAUCGAAGUUUAAAUUUGGUAUGAGAUUUAAAAAUAAUUGUAUUUUUAGUAUAUAUAGAACAUAAGGUGAUGGAGGGAAAAUAAUUUUGACAAACCUAGUCAUAAAUUCUGUAGACAUAAGCUUCAGCAAGUGGGAUCUUUGAUGACAGCAAUAUAUAAAAAGGAGAAUAGCUGUAAAACAUUUAAUACUAUUUUGCAUAGUUUUCUGUGUUUGUAGAAACACAUUUCAGAAAUAAAUAGACUGAGAAUCUGAGGAAUACUUUCCAAAGAGAUCUGAAAUAUGAAUCCUGAGAAUGUGUUGAUUCAUAAUUUGUUACAGUUAGCCUGUUAAUAAUUAAUUCUGCUAAUACUAUGUAUUUCAGAACUAUGCAAAAAAUUAAGCUCUUCAAGAGUAUCUUUAUACUCCCUGUGUUUAUUUAACUUUACUGUGGAUUGAACUUUGAUUCUGCAUUUGUAGAGGUCAGCACUUCUGAUUGUAUACCAGAAUAGCUUUUAUAAUAGGUUUUUAGAACAAACACUACACUUCUUUUGGAUGAUCAGAAGCAAACACUGAAGAUGUAGCCCUUGGUUUUCUUUCUUACUGCAGUUUUACGUGAACAAAAUAAAAAUUCUUAACUUUUAAGAUGAAAUAUGUAAGAAAGUUAGUAUGAAAUAUUGCACUUCAUGAAAAUAUCUGGUGGAAUCUUUUGCAGUCAACUUCUUGGUAUGUUGGCUGAUGAACUAAAUGAAGCUCAAAUUAUCUUCUUAUGCUGAGCAAAGUUGAAUUCCAUGUACAUAUUGUGUAUGUAACUUGCAUUGCAGAUUUUGAUACUUAUACAAAAAAAUGAAGUUGUUAUGACUUUUGCUUUUAGUGAAUCUUAGGAGAUAGAAUUUUUCUACUCACAGUGAACUUAAGGAGCAAUUACUGGAAUUCCAUAGAAAUCUCUGAUUUUUUUCUAUUGGUGUUGGUAACCAUCGGUGACAUUAGCUUCUGCAACUUCUAAGCCUUCAAAUAUUUUGGCUACAUCGAUGAUUUAUUUAUAAUUUUAUUUCUCCUUAUUCUGUAAUUCUUUUAUGUUCAAUUCAGAAAAGGGUAUAUAUUCCUGUCUACUUACAGACAAGAGCUCUGAUGUACUCAUGGUCUUUUACUGCCUGACAAUAUUACUUUAAAUAAUCUGACAAACAGUAAUUAUGUCAUUUAUCCUUCCCUUUUCAGGAUACGCAACACAGUCAAGAAGCUUGGUCUGGAAGCACUGGUCUUAAUUUUUAAUGUCAACAAGAUGGUGUUACUGUGAGGGAUUUUAUAUGGGAACAGAUGGAUGAAGUCACCUAGCCAAGGCUGAGUCAAAGAAAAAGCUUUGUCUAGAAGCCAUUUUAGUAUUGUCCCAUUACUGUCAAUAUGAGAGAACUGGUAUUUUUAGGGAAUGGAGAAUAGAGUAAUUGCAGAAAUUGAAGAAUGCCUAAUGGUUUCCCCUUUAAAUAACAAAUUUCUUCAUAUGGGACAACUGAAAUGAAAGCAUACCUUUCAUUUGAAAAUUAAUCCAACUAAUUUAGAAGGUAUGACUUAUAUUUUGCAAAUAC